ACUGCUUGCUUGGCUGCCUUACCAUUUCUUUAAGGUUAAAUACGAUUUUAAGGAAGUGGGGGAGUGCUGGAGGCUGUUGUUUUUAUUUCAAUCUGGUGAGCAGCUGUGAAGAGGUCAUCCCAAGAGUACACUGCCGUUUCCGCCGCAGCUUCCCCUUUUCUCUCCAAAUGGUGUGUGUCAUUGGAAAAAGCAAGCGACCUCAGAGGGCAAGGAUAUAUUUCAGGCAUGGGCAAACUUGGGACCUCCAGGUGUUUUGGACUUCAACUCCCACAAUUCCUGACAGCUGGUAGGCUGUUAGGAAUUGUGGGAGUUGAAGUCCAAAACACCUGGAGGGCCCAAGUUUGUCCUGCCUGAUAUACAGUAGAGUCUUGCUUAUCCAACAUUCUGGAUUAUCCAAUUCAUUUUGUAGUCAAUGUUUUCAAUACAUCAUGAUAUUUUGGUGCUAAAUUUGUAAAUACAGUAAUUACUACAUAGCAUUACUGCAUAUUGAACUACUUUUUCUGUCAAAUGUGUUGUUAAACAUGAUGUUUUGAUGCUUAAUUUGUAAAAUCAUAACCUAAUUUGAUGUGUAAUAGGCUUUUCCUUAAUCCCACCUUAUUAUCCAGCAUAUUCGCUUAUCCAAUGUUCUGCCAGCCUGUUUAUGUUGGAUAAGUGAACCUCUACUGUAUUUAGUAUUAGGGACUAAGCCCAAGCAGGAUUUCCUGCACUGCAGCGGGUUGGAUUCUCAAUUGUGAGAGUUGAAGGCCAAAACACCUGGAGGGCCAAAGUUUGCCCAUGCCUGAUAUUGUAGGGGACUUCCAAUCAGGCUUUUCUGCAUGGCAGAGGGUUGGACUGGAUGGCCCUGGUGGUUUCUUCUAACUCUUUGAUUCUAUGGUCCGUUCCACACUGGCCAUAUAAAUGUAACUGGCUCAAUAAUAAUAAAAAUAAUAAUAAUGGUGCUUUAUUUAUAUACUGGCCUAUCUCCCCAAGGGGACUCAGGGUGGUUUCCAACAUAAGCAAAAGAUUCAAUUGCCAGUAGAAGACCCUCCAAAAAAUCAGGUGCCCUGAAAAAAAUGGUGAAUAUCCUGUGGCUUCUCCACGAUUACAUGAUAGCAACAGUCUUAGACAGCAAUGGCUCCCAAAGUGACCCAUUUAAGGUGGAAUCAGGUGUCAAAUAGGGAUGUGUUAUUCCCCCAACCUUAUUUUCCAUCAUCAUCGCUAUGAUACUUCAUCUUGUUGAUGAAGUGGAAAUCAUUUUUCGGACAGAUAGCAAGCUAUUUAACCUCAGCAGACUGAAAGCCAAAGCCAAGGUCACAACAACAUCUGUUAUAGAACUCCAAUAUGCCGAUGACAACGUAGUCUGUCCACAUUCAGAAGCCACUAAACAUCUUUGCAGAAGCAUACAAGAAGCUUGGCCUCUCAUUAAACAUCGAGAAAACCAAAGUGCUCUUCCCGCAGGCACCCGCCAAUCCCUCUGCAAGGGCAAAAAUACAGCUUAAAUGUGUAACAUUAGAAAAUGUCGACAAUUUCCGCUACCUUGGCAGCCAAUUCUCUACAAAAGCCAACAUUGACACUGAAAUACAACACUGCCUGGGCUCUGCAAAUGCAGCAUUUUUCCGAAUGAAUCAAAGUGUUUGAGAAUCAGGACAUCUGUAGUGAUACCAAGGUGCUUGUUUAUAAAGCCCUUGACCUCCCAACCCUGCCAUACGCCUGCAAAACAUGGACUGUCUGUAGACAUCACACUCAACUCCUGGAGCGAUUCCAUCAGCGUUGCCUCCGAAAAAUACUGCAAAUAUCUUGGGAAGACAGGCAGACAAAUGUCACUGAGCUCAAAGAAGCAAAGACCAUCAACAUUGAAGCAAUGCUCCUACACCAUCAACUCCGCUGGACUGGCCACGUUGUCCGAAUGCACAAUCACCAUCUCCCAAAGCAGUUACUGUAUUCCUAACUCAAUAAUGGAAAACGGAAUGUUGGUGGGCAGGAAAAGAGAUUUAAAGACAGGCUUAAAGCCAACCUUAAAAACUGUGGCAUAGACACUGAGAACUGGGAAGCCCUGGCCCUUGAGCGCUCCAACUGGAGGUCAGCUGUGAACAGCAGUGCUGUGGAGUUCAAAGAGGCACGAAUGGAGGGCUUAAGGGAGAAAUGUGUCAAGAAGAAGACGUGCUAAGACAACCCUGACUGGGACUGCCUUUCAUCUGGAAACUGAUGUCCUCCCUGUGGAAGAACAUGCGGGUCAAGAAUAGGGCUCCACAGCCACCUAUGGACCCUCUGCCAAGACACUAUGCUUGGAGGACCAUCAUCCUCAGUCUACAAGGAAUCGCCUAAGUACAACAAGAUAGACAUCAUAAAACAAAACAUACAAUCCUGCUAAAUCAUAAAAGUUAAAAUCCAGUUUUAGUCUAUUCCAGCAGAUGGGUUCAAAGUACCAAUAGCCAGAAUUUCAGAGUGGACAUGGCCAAUUAUGAAGGGCUAUGCAGAGGCUGAUAUGACAGAGUAUCAUAGGACCAGGGAAGUGGAUAAAGUGCAGAGCUACCAAGAGAGAAGGGCCUAGGGACUAAUGCUUGAAAGCCUGCUGAAACCACCAGGUGUUCAGGUCCCUGCAGAAAGAGGACAGUGUAGAAGUGCCCUAUGAUGCCAGUCAGGGCUGGCUUGAAAUAACAAUAAUAAACUUUAUUUCUAGAACACCCUCUAGAAGUAAGAUUUAAAUAACCCAGCAUUUUCAGUUUACAUUGCUGACCUGUUCCCUUGAUGUAGCAACUACAAAAAAGCUCAUCCAUCCUCACUUCAGGGGAGCCAGCAUAAUGGAGCUGUUUGAGUGUUGAAGAAUGUCAUGAAUCUAAAAUCUGCUCCUCCUUGAAAAUCUACUGGCAAGUCUUACUCUCGCAGCGUCAAAGGCUAUGGCAAACCUCUUCUGAAUAAUUCUCACCAAGAAAACCAUAGGAUAGAGUCAUCAUAUGUCAGAGUCGACUUGAAGGCACUGAGCAACAGGACUUCUGGACUAGAACUACUAUUACAUUUGGCAUUAGAGUAGCUACUGGAUUCCCAGACCAAACUGGCUCUCUGUUCCUACUGCCCCCUUUAAAUCAUGGCACCUUUUCUCAUUCCAGCUGCUAGGAGGCAGCCCUAGGAGGCAUGUUGGUAAGUGUACCUGAAACAGAUAACUUCCUGAGACAAGCAGUUUCAAUAUAAUUCAGGAAGAAUUCAUUGUUAUGUUUCCUUUGCUUGAUACUCCUAGUCUGCUUCCUGAGGCAGAUGCUUCACUUCUGGUCAUGGUAUGGAGCUCUCAAGGUCUCAAGAUGUGCUUUUAAAAAAGUAAUUAAAAUUCACAUCUGUAACUGAGGCACACUUUUAUUUUAUCAUCUAGUUUGACUACAUGUCAGGAUAAUAACUUCUACUCACAUGCUGCUCAUCUGCAAGUCAUUCUGAAUAUUAUGGAAUGAAUUCAAGACAAAUCUAGUAUACAUGAGCAGUUGAAAGUAUGUGCCAGAAAGUAGGCGAGAGUGUCACAAAAUGGAGUCAAAUUGCAGUUCAUGCUGACAUACUUGUUUUGAGAAAAAGGGUCUUAUUGCAUAGUAGUAUAAAUAAAUAAAUAAAUGUGGUGUCACCUUCGAGACUAACUGGCUUAUCGAGCUAUAGAAGCUGAAAGACUGGAUCAAUAGAGUAAAUCAUUUCCUCUUAAGCUAAUUCUUCAAAGUGGCCAGUUUGUUUUCUAAACAGUGUAAAAUGCAUGUCAGAUUGCAGACAAGGAAGUUUAGGGCAAAAAUGUUUAAAGAAAAGACUGGCAAAUUAAUAAGCAAUUGAGGAGAGACAACAAUCACUAAAGCUGUUCAACAACUUUAAGUUAUAGUUGCACUAUGUGCAAAGGAACGAAUGCAGGUAAGGCAAUGAAGAGGUGAAGUUCAGUAAUGAGAAGAGCUAGAUGUUGAAUUUUGGUUGCUUAUCGUUGUGUGCCUUUGAGUUAUUUCUGACUAAUAGUAACUCUAAGGCAAACUUGUCACAAGAUUUUCUUGACAAUAUAUUUAGAGAGAAUUUGUUUUUGCCUACCUCUGAGUGUGAUUUGCCAAAGGUCACCCAGUGGGGUUCCAUAUCUGAGCAGGAAUCUGAACUCUUAUAUCUAGAGUUGUAGUCAAACCACUGCAUCAUACUGGCUCUCUGCUUGAUCCAUUUUCAACAGAACUAGAGUGUGAUUUUCUAUAAAGAUCUUGGAUAGAUAGACUUUUCCAUCACCUCUUUUACCUUGGGUAAAGUUGCUUUUAUGAAAUAGACUCCACACUAAGGCUUUGAUAUUUCAGGCUAUAUUCCUAUGCUUUGCUUCUUAGCACUCCCUACCAUUCAUAAAUGCUGGGAAAUAGGGAUCUCUGCUGCUAGUGCAUGCCAUUAAGGAACAUAAGCACAUUUAUCAUAGUGACCUUCCAACUAACCAGCUCACUGUUUUCUUCAAACAAAGGUAGAACAUGAAAUAAGACUAGAAGUGAUGCUUCAUAAGAAUACUUACAAUGUGCUUGCAUAGGCACAUAUAGUCACCUGAUGAUGAGGUUAUCAUUGGUGUUUAUUAUUUCACUGCCAACAUUAAUGGGUUAGAUCCUUCAUGCUUACUGUGUGCCAUCCCACUGAUGUCAAUUGUAACUAAGAAUGGAAGCUGGCACCAAUUCUUCCACUGAGCUGCUGCUUUUUCCCAAAGUCACACCACACAGAUGGCAUGACAAGCAUUGGCAGCUGUUUUCCAUUGAAUAACUAGCUGGGCACAGAGUAUCUCUGCAGAAAAUUAGAAGCAGAGCAAGAGCCACAAACAGUUCCUGGAAAACAGAAAACAUGGAUACUUGAUCUGCAGAGAAAUAGUCAAGGUUAAGCACCAUGUUACAUCCUUCCAUUCAAAGAGAGCUUCAUAGUACAUUGGGAAGCAUAAAAAUGUGCAAGUGUUUCAGAAUUCUUGAAAUUUUUCCUUUUUAAAAUUUAUAGCAUUUUCAGAAGAAAAAUAAACACCACUUGAUAUUAAAGUGUAUAGAUAGGACAAGUGUUUCACACAGAUAAAUUGCCCUUUCAAAGAAGGUAGUAUUAAUUUGCAAAAGCUACACAGCAACAAAGCCUACAGCAUCAACUCAAACAAAAACUAUUUUGCCCACUGAUAAUCAUGCUGAUAGAAGUAAUCAGUCUUCAGUAGGAAUAUUGUGUCACUCCAUUAGAGUGACAUUCCAUGAUUUUUCACAAAUGGCCUUAUAGAGAAUAUACUGCUGGGUUCAACCUUUAAUAUUUGUAGCAGCCAGCAGGUUGCUAAGAGGAAAGGUUGUGCCAAGCAGAGCAUUAACAUGCAAUUUGAAAAGAAAAUGCUUUUACAGACUCAGUUUUUUUCAAUACACAAUAACUUUCCUUGGAACUUUUUCCAGAAUAUCCUGGUAUGUAUAGCUGAAUACAAGGUGUUUUUUUGUUUUUUGCUAUUGUGAAAUUGUAUGAGCCAUAUAGGCACUAAUGGAAAUAAGCCAAACAAGUGCAGUGGUUAGAGUAUUGGCUUGUGAUAUGGGAGAUCUAGAUUCAAGUCUCAUUGAACCAUGAAACUUGGUGGGUUUCACCUGGGGCAGUCAUUCUUUCUCAGUUUGACCAACAUCACAGGAUUGUUCUGAAGAGAAAGACAGGAGGAAAAAUCCCUAUAUUGAGGUCAGUGGAGGAAAGGUGGUGCAUGAAUAUAGCUACUAAAUAAAAGAAGUUGUAAUCAUGACCAUCAAAUUGAUUGUGUUGAACUGUAUUUUAGGCUUGUCCGAUCGAUGGAAAAAAUGUUUCAAUUCGCGUUUCUAAAGUAGGGGGUGCUGGCUCUUCGAUGUAGAAAUUAUUUCUUAAUGUUUCACCCAAAAUUUUCGGAUAUUUCCGAAAAUUCGUAAUGUUUCUAAAAUGUUUCUAAAAUGGCGGACGCGCAUGCGCAAUGGCAAAAAAACGGGAAACCGGGGGGGACUUUUCUGGGGGUCUCCCGCCCUCAUUUCUUGAGCUAUUCUCAUCAAAUUUGGUACAGUGGGAGAACACGUUCCACACUCUUUGCUCAACAAAUUGGGGAUUUUAAUAGAGAUCCUCCACGUAGACACAGAGGACGCUAGCCCCCACCUUUGGCAGCCAUUGUGGAAGACUCUGAUUGGCCAGGGAGCGGCCAUGUUAGGCUGCGCUAGGCUCCCAUUCAUGUUAGGUUGCAGAAACAAAAAAAUAAAUAAAUAAUAAUUUUUAAAAAAUAUUAAAAAAAAAUUUUGGAAGGAAAAAAAUUAACGAAAAUUUUAAGAAACAAUUAGAGAAUGGGCCAAUGAUGGUUCGAAUUACAUUGCCAGUUGCACCCAGGGAAAACGUUUCAAUACUCGUUUCAAAAAACGAGAACAAUCCGAAAUAAUUACGAAACGAGAAACAUAACGAAUAUUUGGACAACCCUACUGUAUUUAAAUGUAAAUUAAGGACAAUAUGAUAUGAUAGCAGAGAAAUGUAGUGUGCUGUUUUAUUGUAUUGAAUUAAAGAUAAGUGUUAUUGCAUGAACCAAAUAUAAGCAAUGUGUUCCUUCUUCAACACAUUUGUAUUCCAUCCCUUUUCAGGUUCUAGAACAGAGUGGCUAACAACAAGAAUAAGCUAACAGGUCACUUCUGGUUGUGAGAGAAUCAGCCAUCUACAAAGACGUUGCCUAGGGAAUGCCUGGAUGUGUCACGAUCCUACAGGGAGGCUUCUCUCAUGUCCCCCACUCUGCAAUAAUCACAAGAAACUGAUCUGUAUCAUAGAGACAGAUAGCCAUCUUCUCAGGGUGAAUUGAAUUUUUAAGCUCAUGUAGACAAAAUACUUGAGCAUAUUCUUAUAAACCUUAAUUGAACUCAAUGAAGGUAUUUCUAGAUGGUUUGCUGAAACCUUUGGCAUCAAGAAAUGAUAUAUUUGAUUCUUAUUAUGCUUGCUUAAAAAGAAUUCCUUGCACAGGGACAACCCUUAAGAUAUUUUGAGUCUCAAUCUAGAGAGAAAAGCAGGGGAAGUAUGUCAAAUGUACAUUAAAGUUUAAAAAACUUUAAACUGGUUUAAUUAAGGAUGAUCAUAUCUGCCAAGUAUAUUUCCAUGGUUUCCCCCUUUCAUCUGUCUGUAAGGUCAUUCUUUGUCACUUUUUGAAUAAAAUGCAUAUGUAUAUAAUGCACAUUCCUUUUUCAAAUAGAAACAUAAAAUGACCAACUGACUUAAGUACAUGCAUGUGCAUGUAAGAAUUGUAUGCAGUGUUUCUUGUGUAUUCAAUUUCUUUUGUGGAAGUCCUAAAGUGCCUGAAUAUUUACAGACAUUGUGUCCAAUUUAUAUUCAGCUUGAGAGAUACACAAUUGGAUAAAUAAUGUCUUUUAAAAAUACAAAAAAAUCUUGCAAAUAUGCAGUAAGAAUAUUUGGCUAGAGGUCUGCUUUAAGAGUGCCAAUUCACUGAAUCAUAAAUUCAGAAGCAGAAAGCAAUAUGUUAUCAACUUCAGAGGUAGGCAAUCUUCUGCCUCCUGAUGUUUCAGAGUACAAUUGCUAUAAACCAUGACAACUGGCAUCUUUGUUAAGCCUUUUGCAAAUUAUAGCCUAUGAUUGUGAGGAUACGAAAUUGUCUUCCCUAGAUUUAGAUGGUGAUAAUGCAAAUGUUAUGGUGAAUCCACACAAUGCAUCUUCAAAUUAGGUAAAUUAAAAGGGAAGAAGGUGGGUGCAUCCUAAAUCAUAUUUAUAUGCUCAGAAUUCAGAAGGCCUAUUCAACAUGUGAGGAGAAGAUGGGAUGCAUAUGAUGUGCCAUCUCCAUCCUCAUAAUGCCUUCCAAGAUAGUCUACUCUGUGCCAUCUAUGAGUUGGUCUGUUGAUGCCAUGUAUGGCAUAGUUACCUGUAUUGAAGUAAGAUUUAAUUGACAGUAAGGUCAAAUGUUGUAUGUGUUGUCGAAGGCUUUCAUAGUCAGAAUCACAGGGUUGUUGUGUGUUUUCCUGGCUGUAUGGCCAUGUUCCAAAAGUAUUAUCUCCUGACAUUUUGCCCACAUCUAUGGCAGGCAUCCUCAGAGGUUGUGAGGUAUAUGAUGCCUGCCAUAGAUGUGGGCGAAACAUCAGGAGAGAAUAUUUCCAGGCCAUACAGCCCGGAAAACACACAACAACCCUCAAAUGUUGUACAUGGAAGAAUGAGAUAAAUGUCAUCUUGCUCUUCAAUGCAACAGCAAAACACCUUGAACCCUCGCACUGAAUUUAAUAUGGAAGCAAAGUUCUCAAUUAACAGGUCAAAAAUGACAGAUAAUUAACAACAAAUGUUCACUGGUUAAUUUUUUUAAUGAAUUGGGAACAUUGAUCCAAAAUCUCUUUGCUUCAGUCAUAAAUAAUAAUGGUGCAUAUAUUGAUGCUCCCCUUUUAAGCAUGAGUAUUUGGCAUUUGGAGAAUCAAAUUAGACUUAACAAGAACAUUAGCUACUUUUGGUGCAUUCCUAGAACUUGAUUAUUGGGUGGGUGAAAAUAUGAGACUUUUCUUCCUUCCUGACAUCUGUUAACAUCAAUUGCUGAGCUCUGAUGCUUUUCACUCCAGGUCAUUAAUCACCAAAGCCUGCCAACGUCCUCCAUGAUUUUCAUUUCUGGCAGGAUCCUACCUUCUGCACGUCCCAACAUCAGGCUAUGAAUCCUCAUGGAAGUGACUCCAGUUUCAUAUGAAGGCUAGUAAAAUGGUGGAUACAUGCCAUAGAAUAGGCAUCUGCUCUAAAGUGGCAGCUGUCCAAUUGUCUUGUGGGUGAGAUUGUUGCUGGCAUGCUAGAUUGGUACUGAUUCACAGCAGCUCCUGAUUCCUGCCUGCCCACAUCCCAGCAUUAGGACUGGAUGACAAAAUUUGCCCUCAAGGUUUUCAGAGAUUCACCCAAUCUCUCUUCCCUGUACCCAAAUGAAGAACAACCCAUAGUGCAUACAUGUCUGUACUUGCAAUGUGUUAUGUGAAAAUAAUAUUUUGACAAAAUGUACACAUGAGAAAAGCACACUUUCUGAGACACACAAAGACACUUUAAUUAAUGUGUAUAACAUUUUAAAUCCAAUUGUUAGUUCCAAUUACAGUAUUAAAUCAAAGUGAAUAUGUUCAGUCAAUGUAUUGUGUAAGGUCUACUGUUUCUUUGUGUUGGAAGUAGCAAGAGGAUUUAGGCCAAAACACAUACAUUUGAAAAAGUGCACACAAAUACAUGUAUGGAUUUCUUUAUAGGGUAUGGUAGCCUGUGCAGAAUCAGAAUGUAUUGAGCUUCAAGGUGCAAUUCAGAAAACUUGAAAGAGCUCAAGCCUUAUAGAUCUGUACAUCUUAAUUUAGCAAUGAAUUAGAAAGUAGGACACCAUGAUUCAUGAGGCACAGCAGAGAGAAGUGUCAAGGAGUUGAUAUCUAUAGCCUUCUAAACCCCAGCGCUGUCCAGUUCUCAAGAACAUGUGUCUGUGCUAACAUAGUGCUACCUAGUUUAGAAAUUUUGGAGGAGGGAGAGUGAACAUUUGGGGGAAAAAUUAUUGUGUGUUGAAGAAGCUUAAAUUAAUGACUAGAGGGAAUCAUGCAACACCAGCUGUAUUGGAUACAAAUAUUCUUAAUAAUUGCCACAUUGUUAUUAUGUCUUGGUUGUUGGAGGGCAGCAUUUUUGGAAAAUUAAAUCAAUGGCAUUUUGUACAACAGUGUCUAUAAGCAGCACUUUUUCUAUAAAGAAAUCCUUAGAGUCAA